rnacentral:rRNA from 1 species
GAUGAACGCUGGCGGCGUGCCUAAUACAUGCAAGUCGAGCGAACAGAUGAGGAGCUUGCUCCUCUGACGUUAGCGGCGGACGGGUGAGUAACACGUGGAUAACCUACCUAUAAGACUGGGAUAACUUCGGGAAACCGGAGCUAAUACCGGAUAAUAUAUUGAACCGCAUGGUUCAAUAGUGAAAGACGGUUUUGCUGUCACUUAUAGAUGGAUCCGCGCCGCAUUAGCUAGUUGGUAAGGUAACGGCUUACCAAGGCAACGAUGCGUAGCCGACCUGAGAGGGUGAUCGGCCACACUGGAACUGAGACACGGUCCAGACUCCUACGGGAGGCAGCAGUAGGGAAUCUUCCGCAAUGGGCGAAAGCCCGACGGAGCAACGCCGCGUGAGUGGUGAAGGUCUUCGGAUCGUAAAACUCUGUUAUUAGGGAAGAACAAAUGUGUAAGUAACUAUGCACGUCUUGACGGUACCUAAUCAGAAAGCCACGGCUAACUACGUG